AUUGAACGCUGGCGGCAUGCCUUACACAUGCAAGUCGAACGGCAGCACGGGAGCAAUCCUGGUGGCGAGUGGCGAACGGGUGAGUAAAGUAUCGGAACGUGCCCAGUCGGGGGGGAUAACGUAGCGAAAGUUACGCUAAUACCGCAUACGAUCUAUGGAUGAAAGCGGGGGAUCGCAAGACCGCGCGCGAGUGGAGCGGCAGAUAUCAGAUUAGGUAGUUGGUGGGGUAAAGGCUCACCCAGCCGACGAUCUGUAGCUGGUCUGAGAGGACGACCAGCCACACUGGGACUGAGACACGGCCCAGACUCCUACGGGAGGCAGCAGUGGGGAAUUUUGGACAAUGGGCGAAAGCCUGAUCCAGCCAUGCCGCGUGCAGGAUGAAGGCCUUCGGGUUGUAAACUGCUUUUGUACGGAACGAGAAGGUUUGGCCUAAUAAGCUGAGCUCAUGACGGUACCGUAAGAAUAAGCACCGGCUAACUACGUGCCAGCCGCCGCGGUAA
rnacentral:rRNA from 1 species